UACGUAGGGUGCAAGUGUUAAUCGGAAUUACUGGGCGUAAAGCGUGCGCAGGCGGUUCGCUAAGACAGAUGUGAAAUCCCCGGGCUUAACCUGGGAACUGCAUUUGUGACUGGCGGGCUAGAGUAUGGCAGAGGGGGGUAGAAUUCCACGUGUAGCAGUGAAAUGCGUAGAGAUGUGGAGGAAUACCGAUGGCGAAGGCAGCCCCCUGGGCCAAUACUGACGCUCAUGCACGAAAGCGUGGGGAGCAAACAGG
rnacentral:rRNA from 1 species